CUCAGGCAUGCCGGGCUGCAGGUCCCAAGCCCGUCCCGCUGGGAAGAGGCUGAGGCCUGGCAAGAAUUAGAGCGCUGCGCCGGCAGGCCGGAAGUGCUGGCGGACCCAGCGCACCCUCCGCAGCUGCUGGCCCAGGUGCUAAGCUUCUCACUGCCUGGGGCCAGCAUUGUCAGCUGCCUGCUCGGAAUGCGGGGCCAGCCGAGCCCGCACCCACCGGGAACUCGUGCUGGCCAGCGAGCGCCAGCGCGCGGCCCAGGUUCCACCCGCGCCUCUCUCUCCAAACCUCCCGGCAAGCAGAGGGAGCCGGCUCCGGCCUCAGCCAGCCCAGAGAGGGGCUUCCACAGUGCAGCGGUCAGCUGAAGGGCUCCUGAAGAGGGGCCAGAGUGGACACCGCAGCCUGAGGAGGUGCAGAGGGAGCGAGGGCUGCUAGCACGUUGUCACCUCUCAAUAGCAAGACCAAAGCUUACAGAUGUCCAUUAUGUAAAUAGGUACUCUAACUUAUGUAGUGGGACCUACGUGCACUCUGAAGAACUACAACUGUCCUCUUGAUGUCCCUAACUAUCUAUAGUUCCUGGUUAUAGGUGUUCACCAGGAGCUGCCUGCUCAUGCUCAGACAACAGGAGGUCUCACAACACUGUCAAAUCAUCUACAAUUGCUAGAACUGCUGCAUUGUCUUCAAGAUUGUUCACCUCUAGGAGCAACUUCAUAAAGCAACAGCCUGAGCAUUGCCAAAUCACAGGAGCAAUGAAUAGAGUUAUCCGGGCCACUCACAAUGAGAAAUGUGAUGGAAGAACUGAGGAAUGAAGCACAUUUAAAACAUACUUUCAACUUUCAGGAGACAUCAACACAGAGAAAAAGUUCAGAAUAAACUGGGUGGAUAUGAGAAGGUAUCUUUUGAGAACAUAAAUACGUUUUACUUUCCGUUAAUCCUUUCUGCCUUAAUUUUUGUGGUUCAUAAAGUGAACUAUUAUGUUCAGAGUUUGUAAAAUGAGUGAUCUGAAAAGAAACUUAAAGAAUUCUCACUCAAACCCCAAGUUUAUGGUAGAUC
rnacentral:lncRNA from 1 species